rnacentral:rRNA from 1 species
AUGCCCGGGAGGUUGUUACCGCCGAACGCCGCCGCCGCAAUGGGCUUUUCCUUCGCCGCCGCCGCUGCCCGACCUGCCAUGGCAUCCACCCUCCCUGGUUGGUCGAUGCUUGACUGCUUCGUGUUCUGGAGCGAGAACUUCGCCUUCCCCAAGGACGCCGCCUCAACCCUGGCCUCCGGCACCAACUCCAUGGACCAAAAGUUCCGGAUCUGCUUCAAACUCGUCGACCCGCCGGAGGUGUCCCGCCUUUAUCUGCAAAUGGAGGAAGGCCUGUGGCAGUCCCAUAGCUUCGAAAUCGUCGCGGCCCACCGCGCCGCGGUGCUCCUCCAGAUGAGCUACCCCAUCCAGGUGCCAGGCUACGACACCAUCAUCCCGAUGGUCGACCACUUCCUCUACCGCGCCGCCAGCUGGCUCCCCGCCGUCUCUGGAGCGGCUCCCCGCUCUUGA